rnacentral:rRNA from 1 species
GAUAAACGCUGGCGGUGUACAUAAGACAUGCAAGUCGAACGGGAGAAGACAGGAAGAUUUAUCUACUUGUUGGACACCGUGGCGGACGGGUGAGUAACACGUAAGCAACCUGCCUAUAAGAGGGGAAUAACAGUGAGAAAUUACUGAUAAUACCGCAUAAGCUGGAGGUAUCGCAUGAUACAUUCAGAAAAGAUUUAUCGCUUAUAGAUGGGCUUGCGUCUGAUUAGCUAGUUGGUGAGAUAACAGCUCACCAAGGCGACGAUCAGUAGCCGGAUUGAGAGGUUGAACGGCCACAUUGGGACUGAGACACGGCCCAGACUCCUACGGGAGGCAGCAGUCGGGAAUAUUGCACAAUGGAGGAAACUCUGAUGCAGUGACACCGCGUAUAGGAAGAAGGUCUUAGGAUUGUAAGCUAUUGUCGUGNGAGAAGAAA